GGCGGACGGGUGAGUAACGCGUGGGAAUCUACCCAGUAGUGCGGGACAACUACCGGAAACGGUAGCUAAUACCGCAUACGCCCUAUGGGGGAAAGGCUUCGGCCGCUAUUGGAUGAGCCCGCGUCAGAUUAGCUAGUUGGUAGGGUAAAGGCCUACCAAGGCAACGAUCUGUAGCUGGUCUGAGAGGACGAACAGCCACACUGGGACUGAGACACGGCCCAGACUCCUACGGGAGGCAGCAGUGGGGAAUAUUGGACAAUGGGCGAAAGCCUGAUCCAGCAAUGCCGCGUGUGUGAAGAAGGCCUGCGGGUUGUAAAGCACUUUCAGUUGGGAAGAUGAUGACGUUACCAACAGAAGAAGCACCGGCUAAAUCCGUGCCAGCAGCCGCGGUAAUACGGAUGGUGCGAGCGUUAAUCGGAAUUACUGGGCGUAAAGCGCGC
rnacentral:rRNA from 1 species